AGAAGAUAUUGACCACAGUAAGUAGUUCCGUGGAGCUAGCUACACCAAAGCCAUCGAUGGGCUACACGCGUUAUGGACUCAAAACAAUGGGUUUUCCUCACUACUCAUUAACCCAAGAACAACUCAUCGUGAUGGAGCACCUGUACUCCCUGAUACAGCAGGAUCUGAGGGGAUUCCUCAGACAGGACGCAGAUGUGGAUUGACAACAUCCUGCAGUUUAACUUUAUUAGAAUAAGUGUUGUUUUGAAUAAAGAACAAUAAAAUUGUA